CGGAAGCCGCGAGGCGGAGCGAAUCCCNGAAAAUGCGUCCCAGUUCGGACUGCAGCCUGCAACCCGGCUGCACGAAGCCGGAAUCGCUAGUAAUCGCAGAUCAGCAUGCUGCGGUGAAUACGUUCCCGGGUCUUGUACACACCGCCCGUCACACCAUGGGAGCCGGGAAUGCCCGAAGUCAGCGGCCUAACCGCAAGGAGGGAGCUGCCGAAGGCAGGCCUGGUGACUGGGGUGAAGUCGUAACAAGGUAAC
rnacentral:rRNA from 1 species